rnacentral:rRNA from 1 species
CUAUACAUGCAGUCGAACGAACCAUCCUGAAGAUUGAAGCUUGCUUCAUGAUUCAGACCUUGGUGAGUGGCGGACGGGUGAGUAACACGUGGGUAACCUGCCCAAAAGUGGGGGAUAACAUUUGGAAACAAGUGCUAAUACCGCAUAACAACUACUUUCACAUGAUCGUAGCUUGAAAGAUGGCUCUGCUAUCGCUUUUGGAUGGACCCGCGGCGUAUUAGCUAGUUGGUGAGGUAAUAGCUCACCAAGGCAAUGAUACGUAGCCGACCUGAGAGGGUAAUCGGCCACAUUGGGACUGAGACACGGCCCAAACUCCUACGGGAGGCAGCAGUAGGGAAUCUUCCACAAUGGGCGAAAGCCUGAUGGAGCAAUGCCGCGUGAGUGAAGAAGGUUUUCGGAUCGUAAAACUCUGUUGUUGAAGAAGAACAUGCGUGAGAGUAACUGUUCACGUACUGACGGUAUUCAACCAGAAAGCCACGGCUAACUACGUGCCAGCAGCCGCGGUAAUACGUAGGUGGCAAGCGUUGUCCGGAUUUAUUGGGCGUAAAGAGAAUGUAGGCGGUUUAUUAAGUUUGAAGUGAAAGCCCUCGGCUCAACCGAGGAAGUGCUUCGAAAACUGGUAAACUUGAGUGCAGAAGAGGAAAGUGGAACUCCAUGUGUAGCGGUGGAAUGCGUAGAUAUAUGGAAGAACACCAGUGGCGAAGGCGGCUUUCUGGUCUGUAACUGACGCUGAGAUUCGAAAGCAUGGGUAGCAAACAGGAUUAGAUACCCUGGUAGUCCAUGCCGUAAACGAUGAGUGCUAAGUGUUGGAGGGUUUCCGCCCUUCAGUGCUGCAGCUAACGCAUUAAGCACUCCGCCUGGGGAGUACGAUCGCAAGAUUGAAACUCAAAGGAAUUGACGGGGGCCCGCACAAGCGGUGGAGCAUGUGGUUUAAUUCGAAGCAACGCGAAGAACCUUACCAGGUCUUGACAUACCAUGACAAACUAAGAGAUUAGUCUUUCCCUUCGGGGACAUGGAUACAGGUGGUGCAUGGUUGUCGUCAGCUCGUGUCGUGAGAUGUUGGGUUAAGUCCCGCAACGAGCGCAA